GACGUAGGGUCCAAGCGUUGUCCGGAUUUACUGGGCGUAAAGAGCGCGUAGGCGGCUCGGUAAGUGUGAAGUGAAAUCUCUAGGGCUCAACCCAGAAACUGCUUUACAUACUGCCAAGCUGGAGUGAUGAAGAGGUUUGUGGAAUUCCUGGUGUAGCGGUGAAAUGCGCAGAUAUCAGGAGGAACACCGGUGGCGAAGGCGGGUCUCUGGGCCGAUAUUGACGCUGAGGAGCGAAAGCGUGGGGAGCGAACAGG
rnacentral:rRNA from 1 species